rnacentral:rRNA from 1 species
AGAGUUUGAUCCUGGCUCAGAACGAACGCUGGCGGCAGGCUUAACACAUGCAAGUCGAGCGCCCCGCAAGGGGAGCGGCAGACGGGUGAGUAACGCGUGGGAAUCUACCCAUCACUACGGAACAACUCCGGGAAACUGGAGCUAAUACCGUAUACGUCCUUCGGGAGAAAGAUUUAUCGGUGAUGGAUGAGCCCGCGUUGGAUUAGCUAGUUGGUGGGGUAAUGGCCUACCAAGGCGACGAUCCAUAGCUGGUCUGAGAGGAUGAUCAGCCACACUGGGACUGAGACACGGCCCAGACUCCUACGGGAGGCAGCAGUGGGGAAUAUUGGACAAUGGGCGAAAGCCUGAUCCAGCCAUGCCGCGUGAGUGAUGAAGGCCCUAGGGUUGUAAAGCUCUUUCAACGGUGAAGAUAAUGACGGUAACCGUAGAAGAAGCCCCGGCUAACUUCGUGCCAGCAGCCGCGGUAAUACGAAGGGGGCUAGCGUUGUUCGGAAUUACUGGGCGUAAAGCGCACGUAGGCGGAUUGUUUAGUUAGGGGUGAAAUCCCAGGGCUCAACCCUGGAACUGCCUCUAAUACUGGCAAUCUAGAGUCCGAGAGAGGUGAGUGGAAUUCCGAGUGUAGAGGUGAAAUUCGUAGAUAUUCGGAGGAACACCAGUGGCGAAGGCGGCUCACUGGCCCGAGACUGACGCUGAGGCGCGAAAGCGUGGGGAGCAAACAGGAUUAGAUACCCUAGUAGUCC